rnacentral:piRNA from 1 species
CUGGAUCGGUCGCAGGGCACGUGAU